rnacentral:rRNA from 1 species
AGUGAACGCUGGCGGUAGGCCUAACACAUGCAAGUCGAACGGCAGCACAGGAGAGCUUGCUCUCUGGGUGGCGAGUGGCGGACGGGUGAGGAAUACAUCGGAAUCUACUCUGUCGUGGGGGAUAACGUAGGGAAACUUACGCUAAUACCGCAUACGACCUACCGGUGAAAGCAGGGGACCUUCGGGCCUUGCGCGAUUGACUGAGCCGAUGUCGGAUUAGCUAGUUGGCGGGGUAAAGGCCCACCAAGGCGACGAUCCGUAGCUGGUCUGAGAGGAUGAUCAGCCACACUGGAACUGAGACACGGUCCAGACUCCUACGGGAGGCAGCAGUGGGAAAUAUUGGACAAUGGGCGCAAGCCUGAUCCAGCCAUACCGCGCGGGUGAAGAAGGCCUUCGGGUUGUAAAGCCCUUUUGUUGGGAAAGAAAUCCAGCUGGCUAAUACCCGGUUGGGAUGACGGUACCCAAAGAAUAAGCACCGGCUAACUUCGUGCCAGCCGCCGCGGUAA